UACGGGGGGGGCAAGCGUUGUUCGGAAUUACUGGGCGUAAAGGGCUCGUAGGUGGCCAACUAAGUCGGACGUGAAAUCCCUCAGCUUAACUGGGGAACUGCGUCCGAUACUGGAUGGCUUGAGUUUGGGAGAGGGAUGCGGAAUUCCAGGUGUAGCGGUGAAAUGCGUAGAUAUCUGGAGGAACACCGGUGGCGAAGGCGGCAUCCUGGACCAACACUGACACUGAGGAGCCGAAAGCCAGGGGAGCAAACGGGG
rnacentral:rRNA from 1 species